rnacentral:piRNA from 1 species
UUCCCAUCUCAGAAAGCACAUCUCUGCCC